rnacentral:rRNA from 1 species
UGAAUUCAGUCUUAUACUCGUGUCUGUCUGAAGGAGCACUUGAGCAGCACUGCUGCUCGUAGACUCAGCCUGGGUUUGGUUGUGGUUUCUCGGGAGCAAGAUGCAUAGUGUUGUGGCGCAGUAGCGCGUGUGGUGAAUGUGGAAUCGUUUUCUGCGUGAUAGCGCUGUGUAGGUAUUCGCCGUUGCCACGAUUGCGUGAGCCCUCUGUGCGGGCGGUGGAACCUUUGUAUGUAGGUGUUGUGGUACUGGCUUUAAGAGGACCGUCUUGAGACGAUGCCAUGAGUGCGAGCCUUCGAGUGUAAUCAGCUGACCACAUCGGUUCUGUGCAGUAUGUCGGAGACGGCGGCUAGUGCGCGUGCGUGCAUAGUUGGUCGGCGUGUCCGGGUUUGGUUGUUACGUGCCUGUUUAUUCAGGCCUGAUGAUGGCUCGGAUUCGUUCGGCUGGCUGUUGCGUGCGUGCACAAUACGGGGCCAAUAGUCUGUGGUGUAGUGGUAACUAUCCACCCCGACCCGUCUUGAAACACGGACCCAAG